GGCCCGCACAAGCAGCGGAGCGUGUGGUUAAUUCGAUGUUACACGAAGAACCUUACCAGGGUUUGACAUGCAAGUGGUAGGAAGCCGAAAGGUGACCGACCUUCGGGGAGCUUGCACAGGUGCUGCAUGGCUGUCGUCAGCUCGUGUCGUGAGAUGUUCGGUUAAGUCCGCUAACGAGCGCAACCCUCGCUGUGUGUUAUAUGUGUCACACAGGACUGCUGGUAUUAAGCCGGAGGAAGUGGGACGACGUCAAGUCAGCAUGACCUUUAUAUCCAGGGCUACACACACGCUACAAUGGUCAGUACAAUGGGUUGCCAAGCCGCGAGGCGGAGCCAAUCCUAAAAAGCUGGCCUCAGUUCAGAUUGCAGUCUGAAACUCGACUGCAUGAAGUCGGAGUUGCUAGUAAACGCAGGUCAGCUAUACUGCGUUGAAUACGUUCCCGGGGCUU
rnacentral:rRNA from 1 species